UGCAGUCGAGCGGACAGAUGGGAGCUUGCUCCCUGAUGUUAGCGGCGGACGGGUGAGUAACACGUGGGUAACCUGCCUGUAAGACUGGGAUAACUCCGGGAAACCGGGGCUAAUACCGGAUGCUUGUUUGAACCGCAUGGUUCAGACAUAAAAGGUGGCUUCGGCUACCACUUACAGAUGGACCCGCGGCGCAUUAGCUAGUUGGUGAGGUAACGGCUCACCAAGGCGACGAUGCGUAGCCGACCUGAGAGGGUGAUCGGCCACACUGGGACUGAGACACGGCCCAGACUCCUACGGGAGGCAGCAGUAGGGAAUCUUCCGCAAUGGACGAAAGUCUGACGGAGCAACGCCGCGUGAGUGAUGAAGGUUUUCGGAUCGUAAAGCUCUGUUGUUAGGGAAGAACAAGUGCCGUUCAAAUAGGGCGGCACCUUGACGGUACCUAACCAGAAAGCCACGGCUAACUACGUGCCAGCAGCCGCGGUAAUACGUAGGUGGCAAGCGUUGUCCGGAAUUAUUGGGCGUAAAGGGCUCGCAGGCGGUUUCUUAAGUCUGAUGUGAAAGCCCCCGGCUCAACCGGGGAGGGUCAUUGGAAACUGGGGAACUUGAGUGCAGAAGAGGAGAGUGGAAUUCCACGUGUAGCGGUGAAAUGCGUAGAGAUGUGGAGGAACACCAGUGGCGAAGGCGACUCUCUGGUCUGUAACUGACGCUGAGGAGCGAAAGCGUGGGGAGCGAACAGGAUUAGAUACCCUGGUAGUCCACGCCGUAAACGAUGAGUGCUAAGUGUUAGGGGGUUUCCGCCCCUUAGUGCUGCAGCUAACGCAUUAAGCACUCCGCCUGGGGAGUACGGUCGCAAGACUGAAACUCAAAGGAAUUGACGGGGGCCCGCACAAGCGGUGGAGCAUGUGGUUUAAUUCGAAGCAACGCGAAGAACCUUACCAGGUCUUGACAUCCUCUGACAAUCCUAGAGAUAGGACGUCCCCUUCGGGGGCAGAGUGACAGGUGGUGCAUGGUUGUCGUCAGCUCGUGUCGUGAGAUGUUGGGUUAAGUCCCGCAACGAGCGCAACCCUUGAUCUUAGUUGCCAGCAUUCAGUUGGGC
rnacentral:rRNA from 1 species